rnacentral:rRNA from 1 species
UGGGGAAUUUUGGACAAUGGGGGCAACCCUGAUCCAGCCAUCCCGCGUGUGCGAUGAAGGCCUUCGGGUUGUAAAGCACUUUUGGCAGGGAAGAAACAGCCUGGGCUAAUAUCCCGGGCGACUGACGGUACCUGCAGAAUAAGCACCGGCUAACUACGUGCCAGCAGCCGCGGUAAUACGUAGGGUGCAAGCGUUAAUCGGAAUUACUGGGCGUAAAGCGUGCGCAGGCGGUUCGGAAAGAAAGGUGUGAAAUCCCAGGGCUUAACCUUGGAACCGCACUUUUAACUACCGGGCUAGAGUACGUCAGAGGGGGGUAGAAUUCCACGUGUAGCAGUGAAAUGCGUAGAGAUGUGGAGGAAUACCGAUGGCGAAGGCAGCCCCCUGGGAUGAUACUGACGCUCAUGCACGAAAGCGUGGGGAGCAAACA